GAUGAACGCUGGCGGCGUGCCUAAUACAUGCAAGUCGAGCGAACAGACGAGGAGCUUGCUCCUCUGACGUUAGCUGCGUACGGGUGAGUAACACGUGGAUAACCUACCUAUAAGACUGGGAUAACUUCGGGAAACCGGAGCUAAUACCGGAUAAUAUAUUGAACCGCAUGGUUCAAUAGUGAAAGACGGUUUUGCUGUCACUUAUAGAUGGAUCCGCGCCGCAUUAGCUAGUUGGUAAGGUAACGGCUUACCAAGGCAACGAUGCGUAGCCGACCUGAGAGGGUGAACGGCCACACAGGAACUGAGACAAGGUCCAGACAACUACGGGAGGAAGCAGUAGGGAAUAUUACGAAAUGGGAGAAAGCCUGACGGAGCAACGACGCGUGAGUGAUGAAGGUCUUCGGAUCGUAAAACUCUGUUAUUAGGGAAGAACAAAUGUGUAAGUAACUAUGCACGUAUUGACGGUACCUAAUCAGAAAGCCACGGCUAACUACGUG
rnacentral:rRNA from 1 species